GGUGCCGUGGCGAAGUGGUAACGCAGCGGUUUGCAAAACCGACACACGCGAGUUCGAUUCUCGCCGGCACCUCCA
rnacentral:tRNA from 1 species